UCCCUGGUGGCUCAGACGGUAAAGCAUCUGCCUGUAAGCAGGAGACCCAGGUUCGAUCCCUGGGUCGGGAA
rnacentral:tRNA from 1 species